GGGUGUGAUCAUACCAACACUAAUACACUGGAUUCCAUUAGAAAUAUGCAGUUAAGCGUGCUUGAGUGAAAGUAGUACUAGGUUGGGUGACCUUUUGGGAAGUCCUUGUGUUGCACCCC
rfam:Gossypium raimondii Chr06_contig_386, whole genome shotgun sequence.